rnacentral:rRNA from 1 species
GGGUUGUGAGGUUAAGCGACUAAGCGUACACGGUGGAUGCCCUGGCAGUCAGAGGCGAUGAAGGGCGUGCUAAUCUGCGAUAAGCGCCGGUAAGGUGAUAUGAACCGUUAUAACCGGCGAUACCCGAAUGGGGAAACCCAGUGUGACUCGUCACACUAUCAUUAACUGAAUCCAUAGGUUAAUGAGGCGAACCGGGGGAACUGAAACAUCUAAGUACCCCGAGGAAAAGAAAUCAACCGAGAUUCCCCCAGUAGCGGCGAGCGAACGGGGAGGAGCCCAGAGCCUGAAUCAGCAUGUGUGUUAGUGGAAGCGUCUGGAAAGGCGCGCGAUACAGGGUGACAGCCCCGUACACAAAAGCGCAUGUGCUGUGAGCUCGAUGAGUAGGGCGGGACACGUGGUAUCCUGUCUGAAUAUGGGGGGACCAUCCUCCAAGGCUAAAUACUCCUGACUGACCGAUAGUGAACCAGUACCGUGAGGGAAAGGCGAAAAGAACCCCGGCGAGGGGAGUGAAAAAGAACCUGAAACCGUGUACGUACAAGCAGUGGGAGCCCCACCACCAAAGCAUUUGCUGUACCGCGUUGACGGAGCGAAGCGACGUCAAACCGAUAAAACAGCAGUGUAAAGUGAGCCGCAGGGCGCUUUGCGCGACAGCGCAAA